rnacentral:snoRNA from 12 species
AUGGAUUAAUCGCGUCAGGCAUGGCGCCCGAAACGCAUGAGGAAAUUUCCCAUGCUGCCUUCCUUCUGACAGCACA